UCCCACCUCCAUAGUCUUAGCC
rnacentral:misc_RNA from 1 species